rnacentral:rRNA from 1 species
GAUGAACGCUGGCGGCGUGCCUAAUACAUGCAAGUCGAGCGAACAGACGAGGAGCUUGCUCCUCUGACGUUAGCGGCGGACGGGUGAGUAACACGUGGAUAACCUACCUAUAAGACUGGGAUAACUUCGGGAAACCGGAGCUAAUACCGGAUAAUAUAUUGAACCGUAUGGUUCAAUAAUGAAAGACGGUUUUGCUGUCACUUAUAGAUGGAUCCGCGCCGCAUUAGCUAGUUGGUAAGGUAACGGCUUACCAAGGCAACGAUGCGUAGCCGACCUGAGAGGGUGAUCGGCCACACGGGAACUGAGACACGGUCCGGACUCCUACGGGAGGCAGCAGUAGGGAAUCUUCCGCAAUGGGCGAAAGCCUGACGGAGCAACGCCGCGUGAGUGAUGAAGGUCUUCGGAUCGUAAAACUCUGUUAUUAGGGAAGAACAAAUGUGUAAGUAACUAUGCACGUCUUGACGGUACCUAAUCAGAAAGCCACGGCUAACUACGUG